UACGUAGGGCGCAAGCGUUAUCCGGAAUUAUUGGGCGUAAAGCGUGCGCAGGCGGUUUGCUAAGACAGGUGUGAAAUCCCCGGGCUUAACCUGGGAACUGCGCUUGUUACUGGCAGGCUUGAGUGUGGCAGAGGGGGGUGGAAUUCCACGUGUAGCAGUGAAAUGCGUAGAGAUGUGGAGGAACACCGAUGGCGAAGGACAGCCCCCUGGGCUA
rnacentral:rRNA from 1 species